AGCAGCCGCGGUAAUUCCAGCUCCAAUAGCGUAUAUUAAAGUUGUUGCAGUUAAAAAGCUCGUAGUUGAAUUUCGAGACCGGUUUACUGGUCGUGCUUUUGUACGUACUGGUAUUAUUGGUUUCUCCUUUCUGACGAAUCAUAAUGCCAUUAAUUUGGUGUUUUGGGGAAUCAGGACUGUUACUUUGAAAAAUUAGAGUGUUUAAAGCAGGCUCACGCUUGAAUACAUUAGCAUGGAAUAACGAAAUAGGACGUUUGAUUUUAUUUUGUUGGUUUCUAGGAUCGACGUAAUGAUUAAUAGGGAUAGUUGGGGGCAUUAGUAUUCAAUUGUCAGAGGUGAAAUUCUUGGAUUUAUUGAAGACUAACUACUGCGAAAGCAUUUGCCAAGGAUGUUUUCAUUAAUCAAGAACGAAAGUUAGGGGAUCGAAGACGAUCAGAUACCGUCGUAGUCUUAACCAUAAACUAUGCCGACUAGGGAUCGGAUGAUGUUAAUUUUUAAUGACUCAUUCGGCGCCUU
rnacentral:rRNA from 1 species